UCUGGCCCUCCUUAUGUAAUAUACCCGGUUCUCCUUGCUCUAGUUGAUUGCAGGAAAAUCCUGCCAGCUCAGCAUCCACAGAGCCACGUGGCUUCCCUGUGAACUUGCUGGCUUCCUGUAGAAUGGCCCAAGGCCCGCAGGACAGCUGUGCUGGCUUGACACAAAUGCCACCCUGUCAUUGAACCAAAGACUGUUUAUGAAACUCUCCCAGCAUCUCUGCCCGGGGCAUUCAUGCCAGCCUUUGAGUGACCUGAAUACGAUUUUUCCCGUCUCCAGGCUCUCCUCCCUUCUCCUCUAACCCUUUUAUUUUUCUAGCAAACACACUCUUCAGAGCGAUGGGGUGCUGAGAUGAUUCCAUGCUCUUCCUUGGGUAUUUAUAGGCACUGAUGGAAUGACCCGCUCCCCUUUCCCUGCAUAUUUUGUUUUGUUUUUGAGUUGACAGAGGCACCUGCAGGUACUGUGUGACCUUUCUGUCUCACCUGUCAUGUGACCUUAGUCCGUCAGCCCCAUUUUGGACGUGCUGCUGUCAGCCUGGGAGACCUAGAGCGGCAGCCCCUCCUGCAGCCCAGGCAGGUUGGCAUGGGCCCUGGGCUGUGGGCCCCAGGGGAGCUUGGCUCUGGCCGUGCCCAGCCCACAUCUCUCAGAACAGGAAAGGACAGCCGGAGUUCUGGAACUGUAGACUGAAAUACCAAAUCAGGGCACCUGAAAGGCUGCAGAAGAAGAGCCCCCCACCCAACCUCUCCAGUCCAGAUAAGUUCUUGCUGGCCUAUGUAAUGACCUACUCAUAUGGAGAUGGCUACUCCUCUCCAUCCCCUGGAAAUGCCUAUUCUAUUGAGAUGCACUGAAACCAGGAACCUCAUCUUAUCAAAAAGGGAAGAAGAGUUCCAGAAGGAGAAGCUGAGUAACAUCCGGGGAAAUAAGGGUGCAGCCUUGACCCAGUCCUGGAAAAACCAAGCC